rnacentral:rRNA from 1 species
GGUGAACGCUGGCGGCGUGCCUAAUACAUGCAAGUCGAGCGAAUUGACAGAGGUGCUUGCACCUCUCGAUUUUAGCGGCGGACGGGUGAGUAACACGUGGGUAACCUACCUAUAAGACUGGGAUAACUUCGGGAAACCGGAGCUAAUACCGGAUAAUAUUUAGCUUCGCAUGAAGCAAUAGUGAAAGACGGUUCUGCUGUCACUUAUAGAUGGACCUGCGGUGUAUUAGCUAGUUGGUGAGGUAACGGCUCACCAAGGCAACGAUACAUAGCCGACCUGAGAGGGUGAGCGGCCACGCAGGGACUGAGACACGGCCCAGACUCCGACGGGAGGCAGCAGUAGGGAAUCUUCCGCAAUGGACGAAAGUCUGACGGAGUAACGCCGCGUGAGUGAAGAAGGUUUUCGGAUCGUAAAACUCUGUUGUAAGGGAAGAACAAGUACGUUAGUAACUGAACGUACCUUGACGGUACCUUACCAGAAAGCCACGGCUAACUACGUGCCAGCCGCCGCCGUAAAAC